UGGGGAAUCUUCCGCAAUGGACGAAAGUCUGACGGAGCAACGCCGCGUGAGUGAAGAAGGUUUUCGGACUGUAAAGCUCUGUCGUUUGGGACGAACGUGAACUGUGUGAAUAAUGCAGUUUAAUGACGGUACCAAAGGAGGAAGCCACGGCUAACUACGU
rnacentral:rRNA from 1 species